GAUCAUGGCUCAGGACGAACGCUGGCGGCGUGCUUAACACAUGCAAGUCGAACGAGAAUCUACGGAUCGAGGAUUCGUCCAAGUGAAGUAGAGGACAGUGGCGGACGGGUGAGUAACGCGUGAGGAACCUGCCUUUCAGAGGGGGACAACAGUUGGAAACGACUGCUAAUACCGCAUGAUACAUUGGGGUCGCAUGGCCUUGAUGUCAAAGAUUUAUCGCUGAAAGAUGG
rnacentral:rRNA from 1 species